UACGAAGGGGGCAAGCGUUGUCCGGAUUUACUGGGCGUAAAGAGCGUGUAGGCGGCCAAGCAGGUCCGUUGUGAAAACUGGAGGCUUAACCUCCAGACGUCGACGGAAACCGCGUGGCUAGAGUCCGGAAGAGGAGAGUGGAAUUCCUGGUGUAGCGGUGAAAUGCGCAGAUAUCAGGAAGAACACCAAUGGCGAAGGCAGCUCUCUGGGACGGUACUGACGCUGAGACGCGAAAGCGUGGGGAGCGAACAGG
rnacentral:rRNA from 1 species